UAGACCUGAAAUUUGAGUGCCAGCGUC
rnacentral:sRNA from 1 species